rnacentral:rRNA from 1 species
GGGCCCGCACAAGCGGUGGAGUAUGUGGUUUAAUUCGAUGCAACGCGAAGAACCUUACCAGGGUUUGACAUCCUGCGAAUCUCUUGGAAACAGGAGAGUGCCUUCGGGAACGCAGUGACAGGUGGUGCAUGGCUGUCGUCAGCUCGUGUCGUGAGAUGUUGGGUUAAGUCCCGCAACGAGCGCAACCCACGUCUUUAGUUGCCAGCAUUUAGUUGGGCACUCUAGAGGGACUGCCGGCGUUAAGCCGGAGGAAGGUGGGGAUGACGUCAAGUCCUCAUGGCCCUUAUGCCCAGGGCUACACACGUGCUACAAUGGUCGGUACAGAGGGUCGCGAUACCGCAAGGUGGAGCCAA